UACGUAGGGCGCGAGCGUUGUCCGGAAUUAUUGGGCGUAAAGAGCUCGUAGGCGGCUUGUCACGUCGGAUGUGAAAGCCCGGGGCUUAACCCCGGGUCUGCAUUCGAUACGGGCAGGCUAGAGUGUGGUAGGGGAGAUCGGAAUUCCUGGUGUAGCGGUGAAAUGCGCAGAUAUCAGGAGGAACACCGGUGGCGAAGGCGGAUCUCUGGGCCAUUACUGACGCUGAGGAGCGAAAGCGUGGGGAGCGAACAGG
rnacentral:rRNA from 1 species